rnacentral:lncRNA from 1 species
GCUGUGAGCCACCAUGUGGUUGCUGGGAAUUGAACAGCACUCAGUGCUCUUACCUGCUGAGCCAUCUCACUAGCCCACAACAUAUCUUUAACCUUUGACCCAUUGCUAGUAACCAAUGCUCCCAGUGGAAAUCAUCUGACUAAGGUUAUCAGUUGUGUAUAAACAAUAACAUCCGCUGGUUUCCAAGGGGAUUCACUCAUAAGUUUUGAUUUAAGAAUUAAUAAAUUAGCUGAUAGUGGAGCACAGCUUUAAUCCCAGCACUCAGGAGACAGAAGCAGGUAUAUCUCUAUGAGUUCAAGUCCAAGCUAUUGUACAAAGCAAGUUCCAGGACAGUCAGAGCUACACAGAAAAAAGCCCUGUCUCAAAAAAAAAACAAAAACAAAAAUAAUAAUAAUAAAUUUAAAAAUGUUCUUUAUUCAUCUGAAAUUUUAGCCAUUUAAUAUUGUCAUGUUGUUAAUUUUUUCUAAGUAAAAAGUAUCUAAGCAAAAAUGUAUGAGCUGUUCAUAUAAACCAUCACUAGUAGAAAAGCCUUAUUUUUCUUUUUCUGCUAAUUUAUUACCCAAAAUGCAAAAUACUACUGAAAUUUUUCAACUCAAUGACAGAAACUCAAAAUUUGUCACAUCUUGAUUUCUCAUCCAUGAAACUAUACAAUGGUUAGUACACUAGUUUUCUUGAUACUAAAUGUUGUUUAGUAUGAAAUUUAAAAUCUCACACAGAAAGAUCUUAACUGGUAAACAUUCAAAAAGAGAGGACAGCAGUGCUCUGAGAGGCCAAAAAGACUCUGCUCCUUCCCGUUUGCUCCUUUGUAUAUGCUUGAACGUAUACUCAAAACCACUCAAAAUUCACCAUGUUAUUCCUGAUUAGCUGGGAGAGAUAAACAGAAGGCAAGCUGCUCUAUUUUAAGACUAUGAUCUGAAAGCUAUAGAUACUUGCUAAUAUCCUACUGGGCAAAAGAAUUAGUCAUGCACACCAUCAAAAUACACAAAACAAUGGACAUCUGGUCUACCUUCAGAUAGCCAUCGAGGCAUAUGAAACUCGUGGAAAUGGAUUACUAAAAAGAAUAGAAGGGUAGAUUUGAAAGCAGGGGUAAUAAGGUUAUCAUAAUUCAAACCAGGCAUGGUGGUGCACAACUAUAAUCCUAGUACUAAAAAAUGAACGCAAGAGGAUUAUUGAGAGUUCAAGGUCAGCUUGGUCUAUGUGCAAGUUCAGGCCAGGCCGUUGCUACAUAGGAAGACCUUGACUUUUAAAAAGGAAAACUUCAAUUAGGAUUUUUUUUUUCUGCCAAAUUUUACUAAAAGACUUGAUCACAAAUAUUCCGGUAAAGGUAAUGAUGCUAGGGAACUGUUAGGUUUUUCUUCCUAGAACAGCAUUUUUCGAGGACAGGGCUUAAGAUGGAGGAGCUCCUUAAUAAGGACAAGUUACUCUUUUCCUCAGUCUUCUGAGAAGGGGUGAGCCAUCUGUGAAAUCCCAGUGAAUGAGUUAGUGCCGGUAGUUUCAUAUUCUACUCUUCACUUUGUUACCAUGAAAAAUAAUACAACCCUUUGUUUUACUGCCAGUCAAAAGGAAUGUUACAUCAGAGUUCACAGAAAUCAAUUUUCAAUUUUGAGACUUAUUUCCACAGUGGGUAACUGAGUAAGAGCAGGCAGAGAUUUGCUUUCAGAUUCUAUCCAGCCUAUGAGCCUCAGAAUCAGUUGCCUAUUCGGGUGCCCUGAUUGCUCAUAUACUCAAUGGAACUAGAAAGCUACCCUUAGGUGGCUAUAAGGUACCUAAGAGCCAUAGUUAGUACUGGGUCAAUAUAAAACACUUGUUGAACUUUUUUUUUAAUCACUAAUGUGUCAGAACUGAAAAUUUUUGGCUAUAAGCUUUUAAAUUGGACUGGUUAUUUUAAAUUGGUGGUUAUUUUUUCCUCAUGAGUUCCAGUCUGUUUGGAUCCUAAUGGUGAACUCCAUCAAACUGUUAGUUCUUGUUAGUGC